UUCACUGUUGUGCAUUACAUUAUUGUGUUACAUUACUGUGCAUUACAUGUUUUUCUUUGUUUUAUUUUGGAGGGGGUAUUCAUUUCUAUAAUAGUACAGAGAAUAGGAGUUCAAAACAAAAAGCCACGAAAGGUGGCUUAAAAGUGUAUGAAGCUUGGAAUUCUACAUUCCAUCCCCUAAAGCGCUACCAGUAGUAAAAGAUUCCUAAUUGUCUUUUUUAGAAGCUAGCUGCCAGAUACAUAGUCCCAUUAGGAGAGUAUGUUAUUUUUUCUUCUUUGGUCUGACUUGUUUUGUUGAAUGUUCUCCUUGUUCAGAAUUUGUUUUCUUGCCACCUCAUGCAAUACUCCAACUGGAGCCUAUGAGCUAUGUGUAUAAUAAAUAAGUAAAUUCCUAAAGCAUGCAACAAACCAUGCAGCAUAGCAUUUAAAUGUUGCCAGUUUAUAAUGCUUCUUGAGUGCAGCGCAUCAUGGAGCUUGAGGCUGAUCUCUUCAGAUGUAAAACAAAUUGCAGGGUAUGAAAAUGUGGUCCUACAAACUGCUGGUUACGCAUGUCAGUCAGCCUGUUGCAGUGGUCACAAGUGAGAAUGUAACCAGAAGCUGGGCGUGCUCGGCCAUUUUGCAUAUGGCACAGGAUAAAGCUUCACCUCUGCCAUUGCUUCUCUUAUAGUAAUGGCCUCCGAGUAUACAUGCCGAGUUAUGCUUCUGGGGACACCUAUUAGUUAACCUUAUCAGGUAAUACCAUUAGCCUUAUGGGUGCUAUAAUGUUGCAGUGCCUGCAGGAUGGCCAGCAUUACAACACAUUAAAAUUAUUGUACAAGUCAUGCAAUGGUAUCGGGAUUGGCCCACCAAGUGACAACCUUUAAUUACACUAUACCUGGGAUCAGCUCACUCAGUCAGGGAGACAUCCAUGCAUAAGGGGAGGGGUAUGGCAAAUAGAGGGCGUUCGAUUAAUCUUUCUCACAUAGAUAGCUGAUACAUAUAAUCUUUCUUAAAUUGGAUGCUUUGUUGCUCAAAGUGAAGUUACUUAUGGGCAUAAUGUCAGCAUUUCGAUCCUAUUUAUGCUUAACGAAAGUUGCUUUGUUCAGUGUCACUUUUUAUAUUGUUUCGCUUGUGAUUCUAAGCUCACUUGUUUUAUAGCUGCUGUAGGUAUGGCUGGACCUGGAGAAGAAGUGUAAGCAGACCAUGCUAUGUUGCUGAUCUGCGCUGAUCUCCACAUCCAAGUUGGUCCCGCGACAGUUGGGCACCAUUGUGCCUUGCUUCAUUGACAAGGUGAUAUAAUAUGGUGCCCUGCUCGCUCUCACCCAAGCAACCCACUCCUGCGGUCUUUUUUCGGCAGACUGGAUGCAUCGAAAUACCGUUAGAAGGUCCAAUAAACAGUGCUUGGGACAUUUA
rnacentral:lncRNA from 1 species